GGAUGAUCAGUCACACCGGAACUGAGUCACGGUCCAGACUCCUACGGGAGGCAGCAGUGGGGAAUAUUGGACAAUGGGCGAAAGCCUGAUCCAGCCAUGCCGCGUGUGUGAAGAAGGUCUUCGGAUUGUAAAGCACUUUAAGUUGGGAGGAAGGGCAGUUACCUAAUACGUAAUUGUUUUGACGUUACCGACAGAAUAAGCACCGGCUAACUCUGUGCCAGCAGCCGCGGUAAUACAGAGGGUGCAAGCGUUAAUCGGAAUUACUGGGCGUAAAGCGCGCGUAGGUGGUUCGUUAAGUUGGAUGUGAAAUCCCCGGGCUCAACCUGGGAACUGCAUUCAAAACUGUCGAGCUAGAGUAUGGUAGAGGGUGGUGGAAUUUCCUGUGUAGCGGUGAAAUGCGUAGAUAUAGGAAGGAACACCUGUGGCGAAGGCGACCACCUGGACUGAUACUGACA
rnacentral:rRNA from 1 species